rnacentral:rRNA from 1 species
ACUACGGGAGGCAGCAGUGAGGAAUAUUGGUCAAUGGGCGGGAGCCUGAACCAGCCAAGCCGCGUGAAGGAAGAAGGCGCCAAGCGUCGUAAACUUCUUUUGUCGGGGAACAAAGGGCGCCACGUGUGGCGUUGUUAGUGUACCCGACGAACAAGCAUCGGCUAACUCCGUGCCAGCAGCCGCGGUAAUACGGGGGAUGCGAGCGUUAUCCGGAUUUAUUGGGUUUAAAGGGUGCGUAGGCGGUCCGGAAAGUCAGCGGUAAAAGCCCGGGGCUCAACCCCGGCGAGCCGUUGAAACUGGCGGACUAGAGACGGCGAGAGGUACGCAGAAUGCGCGGUGUAGCGGUGAAAUGCAUAGAUAUCGCGCAGAACACCGAUUGCGAAGGCAGCGUACCGGCGCCGGACUGACGCUGAGGCACGAAAGCGUGGGUAGCGAACAGGAUUAGAUACCCGGGUAGUC